GAUGAACGCUGGCGGCGUGCCUAAUACAUGCAAGUCGAGCGAACGGACGAUAAGCUUGCUUCUCUGAUGUUAGCGGCGGACGGGUGAGUAACACGUGGAUAACCUACCUAUAUGACUGGGAUAACUUCGGGAAAACGGAUCUAAUACCGGCUAAUAUUUUGAACCGCAUGGUUCAAAAGUGAAUGACGGUCUUGCUGUCUCUUAUAGAUGAAUCCGCGCUACAUUAGCUAGUUGGUAAGGUAACAGCUUACCAAGGCAACGAUGCGUAGCCGACCUGAGAGGGUGAUCGGCCACACUGGAACUGAGACACGGUCCAGACUCCUACGGGAGGCAGCAGUAGGGAAUCUUGCGCAAUGGGCGAAAGCCUGACGGAGCAACGCCGCGUGAGUGAUGAAGGUCUUCGGAUCGUAAAACUCUGUUAUUAGGGAAGAACAUAUGUGUAAGUAACUGUGGACAUCUUGACGGUACCUAAUCAAAAAGCCACGGCUAACUACGUG
rnacentral:rRNA from 1 species